GGUAACCGUAAACCGGGUGCUUGCAUCUGGGGAUUAGUGGCGAACGGGUGAGUAACACGUGAGCAACCUGCCCCUGACUCUGGGAUAAGCGCUGGAAACGGCGUCUAAUACUGGAUAUGUCCCGUCACCGCAUGGUGUGCGGGUGGAAAGAUUUUUCGGUUGGGGAUGGGCUCGCGGCCUAUCAGCUUGUUGGUGAGGUAAUGGCUCACCAAGGCGUCGACGGGUAGCCGGCCUGAGAGGGUGACCGGCCACACUGGGACUGAGACACGGCCCAGACUCCUACGGGAGGCAGCAGUGGGGAAUAUUGCACAAUGGGCGGAAGCCUGAUGCAGCAACGCCGCGUGAGGGAUGACGGCCUUCGGGUUGUAAACCUCUUUUAGCAGGGAAGAAGCGAAAGUGACGGUACCUGCAGAAAAAGCACCGGCUAACUACGUGCCAGCAGCCGCGGUAAUACGUAGGGUGCAAGCGUUAUCCGGAAUUAUUGGGCGUAAAGAGCUCGUAGGCGGUCUGUCGCGUCUGCUGUGAAAUUCCGAGGCUCAACCUCGGGCUUGCAGUGGGUACGGGCAGACUAGAGUGCGGUAGGGGAGAUUGGAAUUCCUGGUGUACGGUGGAAUGCGCAAUUCAGGAGAACACCGAUGGCGAAGGC
rnacentral:rRNA from 1 species